rnacentral:ribozyme from 1 species
AAAAAGAAGAAAAGAAGAAAAAAGAAAAAACACAAACAU